CCCUGGUUCACCCAGCUGAGGAGUGGGGUGACAGUGGCAAUGGUGCAGAUGGGGGUGGGGCGUGUCCCUGGGCUGCGCAGGUCUCUGUGCGCCUGUGUGUCUCCUUGCUGACUAUUUCUGUUCAGGAGUGAACCUGAAACUUGAAAGGAAAAGAGAGUAAAGUCUACUGAGAAGGUUCAAAAUUCACCCUUUACAUUGCUGAGCAGAGAAGAGUAGGUGCAAGCUGAAGGAAGACCUGCAUAAGAAGGUUUACAAAGCCACAAGUGAGGAGUGUGUGGAAGAAGACCUUGGAGAUUGCAUUGCACUCCUUAAUGUAUCCCUGCAUGAGAAAAAAUAAGCGGAUUCCAGAAUCUUCCCCUCCUUUUCUGCAUUCUCAAAGCAAGACCUGAAGCUUGUCAAAUGCAGAAUGUGAUGCUGAACCUAUGGCAAGUUCAAGCAAUGAAGGGCAAAGGCAAGUUCUGACACAGUGUCCCCUGAGAUAUGUACCCAGGCCCCUGGCAGAAGAUGGGAAGAGGUAUGGAGAGAGGAGAUGCUCUCUUAGGUAGUACUCACAGACUCAUAAAUUUUUAUUUCUUUGUGUAAAUAGGACUGAUUUUCUAUUUAUGACAUAAACAUAAAGUUUUGUUU